GUGUCUGUAUUGAUAGUAUAUUGACAAUUUUAUAAAUUAAAGCUAAGAAAGAGUAAGAUAGAAUCUUGAUAAUGAGAUUUGUAUUCUCACAAUACUAUAUAUACUGAAAUAUCUACACAUAAAAUGCUUCAAAUGUUGCAAAUAUUCCACACAGACAUUACAGUUUAAUGUCGCAGGGAAGAUUGGAAUAUUUUAUAAUAUAUGUGAGAUUUACAGCAUAUAUAUAUAUUUGAUAAAAUAUACAGGAUGAUAUUCCCAAUGCGUUUAUCGCAUAAAAGCAAUAGAAUCUCAUAUCAUUAUCAUAAUAUCUUUGCGAUAUGUUUGUUAAUAUUUACACUAUUUAUUAUAUUGAUUUCGGUGUAUUAUAUUUUCAAAUUUGGCACUAUACAAAAACGUUCUGAAUAUAUUCCUAUAACACUGGAUGAUGUAAGUGCUCUACCCACUCAAAUGUUAUCCGCUGACUUGACUGCAAGUGAUGCUACCAAUUCUUCUUGUACAUAUUUCACUUGUUUCAAUGUAUAUCGAUGCGGCAGUCAGGGAAAUAAACUUUUGGUAUAUGUUUAUCCACCCAAGAUAUACUUGGAUCCUAUGGGUAGACCAAUAACAAACCAAAUAACGAGGGAAUUUUAUCAAAUUCUGAAUGCUAUUAUCAACAGUAAAUUUUAUACUCCAAAUCCAUAUGAAGCUUGUAUUUUUGUUCCCUCUAUUGAUACUCUCAAUCAGAACAGAUUAAGAUUGCAAGAGGUUUCUCAAGCAUUAAAAUCAUUACCUUUCUGGAAGAAAGGAGAGAAUCAUCUAAUUUUCAACAUGGUACCUGGAAGUGUGCCAGAUUACAACACUGUCAUUGAUGUGCCAGUGGGAAGAGCUAUGAUUGCAGGUGCUGGAAUGUCAUCAUUGACAUACAGGCCUGGUUUUGAUAUUAGUUUACCAGUGUACAAUCCACUAAUAAAUAAUCUCAAAAUAAAUUACAGUAAUGGGAGAACAUGGUUAGUGAUGUCUUCGCAAAUCAAUAUUAAUACUGCUUUUGAGCAAGAUUUAAUGGAAGUAAAAUCGACGUAUCCAAAGGAUAUUUUAAUAUUAGGUCCAUGUCUACAUUUUAAUCCUAUGAAUAAUACAAUACGUUGCGUUGGCAAGGGCAUCUAUAAAUAUCCUGAUAUCCUGCAAUCCGCAACAUUUUGUCUAAUAAUCCGUGGCGCUAGGCUUGCCCAAAGCUCACUUUUAGAUGCAAUGGCAGCUGGGUGUAUACCUGUGAUUAUAGCUGAUUCUCUAACAAUGCCAUUCCAUGAUGUAAUUGAUUGGACAAAAGCUGCUGUAUUUGUACGCGAAGUCGACAUUUUAUUAAUAAUACAAUUGCUAAAAAAGAUAUCCCAUCAACGUAUCAUGGAGAUGCAAGAACAAAAUGCAUGGCUUUAUAAUCGUUAUUUCAGUACAAUGGAAAAGAUUACAGAAACUACAUUAGAAAUACUCACAGACCGCGUAUUUCCGCAUUUGACACGAGAUUACACAUAUUGGAAUGUGCCAUCUUAUAAGGGGAAGCCUUCACCACUUUUUCUACCGGUAACUGCUCCUAAAACACGCGGUUUUACUGCUGUAAUAUUAACAUAUGACAGACUGGAAUUGUUAUUCCUAUUAAUCAAUAAACUUGUGAAGGUACCAAGUUUAUCUAAAGUUUUGGUAAUUUGGAAUAAUCAGCAUAAAAAUCCACCACCUUCUACAAGAUGGCCAAAAGUGAAUAAGCCAUUAAAAGUGAUUCAAACAAAGGAAAAUAAGUUGUCAAAUCGUUUUUAUCCAUAUGACGAAAUUGAAACUGAAGCAGUAUUAUCGAUAGAUGAUGAUAUUAUUAUGUUAACUGCUGAUGAAGUGGAAUUUGCUUAUGAGGUAUGGAGGGAAUUUCCAGACAGAAUCGUUGGAUUUCCAUCUCGUAUACAUAUGUGGGAUAAUACCACUAAUUGUUGGAAGUAUGAGAGUGAAUGGACAAACAGCAUUUCUAUGGUUUUAACAGGAGCAGCUUUUCAUCAUAAGACUACAAAGAUAUUGUUAUAGAAAUUUCAGGAUCUUUUUUCUAGUCAAAAAACAAUAUCCUUUCCUGUUAUCCUUAUCCAGGAAUAUACAGAAAUUAAUCUAACAAAUAUUGGAAUUACAUGUAUACGACAGCCAUGCCUGGAGAUAUAAAGGAAUGGGUCGACGAGCAUAUGAAUUGCGAAGAUAUCGCGAUGAAUUUUCUAAUAGCAAACGUU
rnacentral:misc_RNA from 1 species